GCGCCCGUGGCUCAACGGAUAGAGCAUCAGAUUCCGGUUCUGAGGGCUGGGGGUUCGAGUCCCUCCGGGCGUGCCA
rnacentral:tRNA from 1 species